AUAAGCCUGGGAAACUGGGUCUAAUACCGGAUAGGAGCGUCCACCGCAUGGUGGGUGUUGGAAAGAUUUAUCGGUUUUGGAUGGACUCGCGGCCUAUCAGCUUGUUGGUGAGGUAAUGGCUCACCAAGGCGACGACGGGUAGCCGGCCUGAGAGGGUGACCGGCCACACUGGGACUGAGACACGGCCCAGACUCCUACGGGAGGCAGCAGUGGGGAAUAUUGCACAAUGGGCGCAAGCCUGAUGCAGCGACGCCGCGUGAGGGAUGACGGCCUUCGGGUUGUAAACCUCUUUCAGUAGGGAAGAAGCGAAAGUGACGGUACCUGCAGAAG
rnacentral:rRNA from 1 species